GACGAACGCGGCGGCGUGCUUAACACAUGCAAGUCGAACGAAGAGCGAUGGAAGCUUGCUUCUAUCAAUCUUAGUGGCGAACGGGUGAGUAACGCGUAAUCAACCUGCCCUUCAGAGGGGGACAACAGUUGGAAACGACUGCUAAUACCGCAUACGAUCUAACCUCGGCAUCGAGGAAAGAUGAAAGGUGGCCUCUAUUUAUAAGCUAUCACUGAAGGAGGGGAUUGCGUCUGAUUAGCUAGUUGGAGGGGUAACGGCCCACCAAGGCGAUGAUCAGUAGCCGGUCUGAGAGGAUGAACGGCCACAUUGGGACUGAGACACGGCCCAGACUCCUACGGGAGGCAGCAGUGGGGAAUCUUCCGCAAUGGACGAAAGUCUGACGGAGCAACGCCGCGUGAGUGAUGACGGCCUUCGGGUUGUAAAGCUCUGUUAAUCGGGACGAAAGGCCUUCUUGCGAACAGUUAGAAGGAUUGACGUACCGG
rnacentral:rRNA from 1 species